rnacentral:tRNA from 1 species
GGUCAUAGCUCAGUGGUAGAGCGCGUGCCUAGCACGUGUGAGGUACUGGGUUCAAUCCUCAGCACCA